UACGGGGGGAGCAAGCGUUGUUCGGAUUUACUGGGCGUAAAGGGCGCGUAGGCGGCCACCGCAAGUCAGUUGUGAAAUCUCUGGGCUUAACCCAGAAAGGUCAACUGAUACUGCGGGGCUAGAGUGCAGAAGGGGCAACUGGAAUUCUCGGUGUAGCGGUGAAAUGCGUAGAGAUCAUGAGGAAGACCAGUGGCGAAGGCGGGUCUCUGGACAGUUCCUGACACUGAGACACGAAGGCCAGGGGAGCAAACGGG
rnacentral:rRNA from 1 species